rnacentral:lncRNA from 1 species
UUCAUACACAAACGAUUAUAUUAUUAUCAAGGGAAUCAAUAUCAUUAUAGCAAGAUUAUAAAUAAAUAUACAAAAGGAUUACCUCACAAUAAUAUAUAAAUAUAUUCACGGAGGAAAAAUUUCGUACAAAAACUUGGACUCCGUACUCUCCAUGAUGAGACAAGCGCGGACCAAAAAGUAAAAAAGGCACUGAUGAUCCAAGAAUUGACUCAGAUAACGAAGAGAAGAGCCUAAUACCACAGAAAAUACAUGGCGACGCAUUGCAUUUUCCAACUUUAAUUGGAUUAUAUUUAAUAAUAUUAUGUAAAACAUAUACAAAGGAUUUGGUGGAGGAGCAAAUGGGAGAUUGAUUAGGGGAAAAAAAGAAAAAAGUGAGAGAGAGAGAGAGAGAGAGAGAGAGAGAGAGAGAGAGAGAGAGAGAGAGAGAGAGAGAGAGAGAGAGAGAGAGAGAGAGAGAGAGAGAGAGAGAGAGAGAGAGAGAGAGAGAGAGAGAGAGAGAGAGAGAGAGAGAGAGAGAGAGAGAGAGAGAGAGAGAGAGAGAGAGAGAGAGAGAGAGAGAGAGAGAGAGAGAGAGAGAGAGAGAGAGAGAGAGAGAGAGAGAGAGAGAGAGAGAGAGAGAGAGAGAGAGAGAGAGAGAGAGAGAGAGAGAGAGAGAGAGAGAGAGAGAGAGAGAGAGAGAGAGAGAGAGAGAGAGAGAGAGAGAGAGAGAGAGAGAGAGAGAGAGAGAGAGAGAGAGAGAGAGAGAGAGAGAGAGAGAGAGAGAGAGAGAAUAAGAGAAAAAGGCAAUGGGCCUUUGCCUUAGCAUUGCUCUUUUAACACUCCACUCUAAGCUCCACCAUCCAUUUUCAUUUAACAAGAAGAAAAAGGAAAAUUGAAGGGGAAA